rnacentral:rRNA from 1 species
CUACGGGAGGCUGCCGUGGGGAAUAUUGGACAAUGGGCGAAAGCCUGAUCCAGCCAUGCCGCGUGUGUGAAGAAGGCCUUCGGGUUGUAAAGCACUUUCAGUGGGGAAGAAAGCCUUGGGGCUAAUACCCUCGAGGAAGGACAUCACCCACAGAAGAAGCACCGGCUAACUCCGUGCCAGCAGCCGCGGUAAUACGGAGGGUGCGAGCGUUAAUCGGAAUUACUGGGCGUAAAGCGCGCGUAGGCGGUCUGAUAAGCCGGUUGUGAAAGCCCCGGGCUCAACCUGGGAACGGCAUCCGGAACUGUCAGGCUAGAGUGCAGGAGAGGAAGGUAGAAUUCCCGGUGUAGCGGUGAAAUGCGUAGAGAUCGGGAGGAAUACCAGUGGCGAAGGCGGCCUUCUGGACUGACACUGACGCUGAGGUGCGAAAGCGUGGGUAGCAAACAGGAUUAGAUACCCCAGUAGUC